rnacentral:rRNA from 1 species
GGAAUAUUGGACAAUGGGGGGAACCCUGAUCCAGCGACGCCGCGUGAGUGAAGAAGUAUUUCGGUAUGUAAAGCUCUAUCAGCAGGGAAGAAAGAAAUGACGGUACCUGACUAAGAAGCCCCGGCUAACUACGUGCCAGCAGCCGCGGUAAUACGUAGGGGGCAAGCGUUAUCCGGAUUUACUGGGUGUAAAGGGAGCGUAGACGGCGGGGCAAGUCUGGAGUGAAAGGCCGGGGCCCAACCCCGGGACCGCUCUGGAAACUGCCCGGCUGGAGUGCGGGAGAGGUAAGCGGAAUUCCUAGUGUAGCGGUGAAAUGCGUAGAUAUUAGGAGGAACACCAGCGGCGAAGGCGGCUUACUGGACCGUGACUGACGUUGAGGCUCGAAAGCGUGGGGAGCAAAC